rnacentral:rRNA from 1 species
UACGGAGGGGGCAAGCGUUAUUCGGAAUCAUUGGGCGUAAAGGGCGCGUAGGCGGCUUGGCAAGUCAAAGGUGAAAUCCCUCGGCCCAACCGAGGAACUGCCUUUGAUACUGCCUCGCUCGAGGCCGGGAGAGGGUAGCGGAAUUCCCAGUGUAGCGGUGAAAUGCGUAGAUAUUGGGAGGAACACCAGUGGCGAAGGCGGCUACCUGGACCGGUUCUGACGCUGAUGCGCGAAAGCGUGGGGAGCAAACAGG